ACCGUUAAACGGUAAAAACGUCUGGAAAAAGCAAACAGUUCGAAGAGACAUUUAGCAUUAAAUAAAUACUUAAAAAUACUUAAUUUAUAGAAAUAAAACAGGAAUACGUGAAGAUAAUUAUUUCAGUUCUUCGUUUGGUUCAAUGACGGCGUUCAAUCUGUGAGAACCAUCUCCGGUCACCUAGACUCUUGACCACACUCUCGAGGUUUGGAGGCCGAUCGAAGAUUCAAGAAUUCAACUGUGCCGGGGUUUAAAUUAGAUUAGAUCAUCGGGUUUAAUCUCAACCGGAUUAACCGUUGAUGUUCACAGACGUAUUCACAGAUCCGACGAACCGAAAACUCCGAACCCUCAACAGCACGAGUGAAGGUAAAAUUCUAAUCUAUUAUUA